rnacentral:rRNA from 1 species
GAAGGGGGCUAGCGUUGUUCGGAAUUACUGGGCGUAAAGCGCGUGUAGGCGGUUGUCCAAGUUGGAUGUGAAAGCCUUGAGCUCAACUCMAGAAAUGCAUUCAGGACUGGAUGACUAGAGGACCGGAGAGGAUAGUGGAAUUCCCAGUGUAGUGGUGAAAUACGUAGAGAUUGGGAAGAACACCAGUGGCGAAGGCGGCUAUCUGGACGGUUUCUGACGCUAAGACGCGAAAGCGUGGGGAGCAAACAGGAUUAGAUACCCUGGUAGUCCACGCCGUAAACGAUGGGUGCUAGACGUUGGCGAGCUUGCUCGUCAGUGUCGCAGCUAACGCGUUAAGCAYCCCGCCUGGGGAGUACGGCCGCAAGGUUG